UACGGAGGGUGCGAGCGUUGUCCGGAAUCACUGGGCGUAAAGGGCGCGUAGGUGGCGCGAGGAGUCAACGGUGAAAGCUCGGCGCUCAACGCCGAGUCGGCCGUCGAUACUCUCGCGCUCGAGCACUGUAGAGGCAGAUGGAAUUCCGGGUGUAGCGGUGGAAUGCGUAGAGAUCCGGAAGAACACCGGUGGCGAAGGCGGUCUGCUGGGCAGUUGCUGACACUGAGGCGCGACAGCGUGGGGAGCAAACAGG
rnacentral:rRNA from 1 species